UUUACAGAACGCGUUUAGGUACACAAAGCAUAAUAGUGCUUAGUGAUUAUCAUUCUGCGAAAGCUGCAUUUGCUCAGACUGCAUUUAUGGGAAGACCACCGGUCUCACUUUUCGAACUGACCAAAGAGACCUUAGAAACUGGUGCAUUUAAUAAAUUGCCAUGGACAGAUCAAAAAAGGUUCUCUCUUCACCUUCUAAGAGAUCUGGGAUUCGCCAGAACACAAAUGGAAGAACAUUUACAAG